AAACUAACAAGGAUUCCCCUAGUAACGGCGAGUGAAGCGGGAAGAGCUCAAAUUCGAAAUCUAGUAGCCUUCGUCUGCUCAAGUUGUAAUCUAGAGAAGUGUUUUCCGUGCCGGUCCAUGUACAAGUCCCUUGGAACAGGGCGUCAUAGAGGGUGAGAAUCCCGUCCUUGACAUGGACCCCCGGUGGUGUGUGAUACACUUUCAACGAGUUGAGUUGUUUGGGAAUGCAGCUCAAAAUGGGUGGUGAAUUCCAUUUAAAGCUAAAUAUUGGCGAGAGACCGAUAGCGAACAAGUACCGUGAGGGAAAGAUGAAAAGCACUUUGGAAAGAGAGUUAAACAGUACGUGAAAUUGUUGAAAGGGAAACGAUUGAAGUCAGUCAUGCUCUUUGGUAUUUAUAUCAUUGAGUGGGGUCAACAUCAGUUUUGAGCGAUGGAUAAAGGCACUAGGAAGGUAGCACUCUCGGGUGAACUUAUAGCCUACCGUCAUAUACAUUGUUUGGGACUGAGGAACGCAGCAUGCCUUUAUGGCCGGGAUUCCUCCACGUACAUGCUUAGGAUGUUGACAUAAUGGCUUUAAACGAC
rnacentral:rRNA from 1 species